GCAUGAACCGAUGCAAGUCGAAUUUUGAACAAUAUUUGCAAUUCAAAGUAAGAUAUUCCAAUGAAGAAUAUGCUAAACGUGGAGAUAAAUCAAAUGUUUUCGAUUCAAUAUUGCUGACAUGCUUGGGCAUUGCAAGUUGCUUUGGUUGCUUUUGUAGUACAGAAGUAUAGAAAGAAAGAAAGAUUUAUUAUUGGGACAAUAACAAUAUAACAUGUACAAUACAAGCAGAGACAAACAAAACAUAUACUUAAAGAAAAAGUACAAAAUUAUACCCAUUGUGCCAACACUGGGAACCCUCAUUCAGCUUCUCGCUGCAGUACCAGCAUGACUGAUACUGUAGCGCUGAUUUUCCCAGGACCCAGGUGACGUACGGACACUAAGUUGGUGUACUAAGUAUAUUAUAAUUGGCUGCACAAAAA